rnacentral:misc_RNA from 1 species
UGCUUGCUACAGGCCCCUUCGACGUAAGUUGCUGGAAGGAUUUGUUUGUGUAUUAUUCUUUGCAAAUGAAAUCUUGAACUAUUGGGCAUAUUGAAGAUUUGUUUAUUUUUUUUAUAGCAUUAUGAUUUGAAGGUAUUAAUCUCUGGAUGGAGUUGUUUGAUUUACAUCCCAGGGCUACUUUAUGAUAUAGGAAUUACUAAAAUAUAUUUAGGGUGCAAACCUCUAGCUAGUUGUCAUUUGUCAACUUGGGCAGUAAAUAGCGAAGUAAAGCUUCCAAUGCAUGAAUUGUGAGCUGGUGAUUUCUGGUAAUAGAGUUGGAAUCACUAUAAUGUCUAGAGAUUGAAUUGUAAGAUGA